UCCUUUCUGUUUCAGUUUCAGAAGUUCCUGGAGAACAAAACCCUGCACAGUGAGGAUGAGGUGACUUGCCUUUCGUGGCAGGAUGUUUCAUCUCACAAACCAUGGGAGGGCAGAACCACCUCCAUCAGACCACAAGACACUUGCUCCAGUACAGCCACGCUGCCCUUGGAAGGAUGUGUGAAGAGGGGGAAAGGAGCACAGCAGAUUUGUAAAGCAAACACAGGCACAGAGAUACAAUUGAAACUGAAGUAACAUUUCUACCCAGUCUGGCAGGCACCAAUGCUCAGGAGAUGCACUCAGAUGCCCACAAAUGCACUUAGAUAUUGCACUAGGGAAGAAGGCAGGACUCAGUGUGGUAUCAUGGAGGACCCAUGGAGGAACAAUGGAACUCCAGGCUCAGAACUGAAUUUUUUGGAACUACCUGAAGUCACUAUAUUUGGAAAGACUCUUGAGCCAUAUGUGGUGGUCAGGGACUCCUUGGCUGAGGAAACCUUAGAA